rnacentral:rRNA from 1 species
GUGGGGAAUUUUGGACAAUGGGCGCAAGCCUGAUCCAGCAAUGCCGCGUGCAGGAAGAAGGCCUUCGGGUUGUAAACUGCUUUUGUACGGAACGAAACGGUCCUGGCUAAUACCCGGGGCUAAUGACGGUACCGUAAGAAUAAGCACCGGCUAACUACGUGCCAGCAGCCGCGGUAAUACGUAGGGUGCGAGCGUUAAUCGGAAUUACUGGGCGUAAAGCGUGCGCAGGCGGUGCUGUAAGACAGGCGUGAAAUCCCCGGGCUCAACAGGGGAAUUGCGCUUGUGACUGCAGUGCUGGAGUGCGGCAGAGGGGGAUGGAAUUCCGCGUGUAGCAGUGAAAUGCGUAGAUAUGCGGAGGAACACCGAUGGCGAAGGCAAUCCCCUGGGCCUGCACUGACGCUCAUGCACGAAAGCGUGGGGAGCAAACAGGAUUAGAUACCCGAGUAGUCC